rnacentral:rRNA from 1 species
UAAAAAGUCGUAACAAGGUUUCCGUAGGUGAACCUGCGGA